rnacentral:rRNA from 1 species
UACGUAGGGUGCGAGCGUUAAUCGGAAUUACUGGGCGUAAAGCGUGCGCAGGCGGUUUUGUAAGCCAGAUGUGAAAUCCCCGGGCUUAACCUGGGAAUGGCAUUUGGGACUGCAAGGCUCGAGUGCGGCAGAGGAGACUGGAAUUCCUGGUGUAGCAGUGAAAUGCGUAGAUAUCAGGAGGAACACCGAUGGCGAAGGCAGGUCUCUGGACAGUUCCUGACACUGAGGCACGAAGGCCAGGGGAGCAAACGGG